AUAACUGGGAAAAGAAACCAACCUAUGUGACAAACAAGCAUAACUUCAGAAAUUCACUGCAGUCUACAAGUCCAAAAUCCCAAAGGGACUCAAAGUGGGCCUGAAGACAGCAGAGGACCAGUGAAUUAAGAUAGGAAGCAUUUUUGUGUUUAAAGAGCAAAAAAUUAAUAGAAACUAGAAACAUUUGUCUGGGAAAAAAAGCAAUGCCUGGAACACUUCCAUGUAAUUAAAUUCAAGACCUGAUUUUGAUGGAAGAUAUCACAAGAGAAGGUGCAAUGUUGAAUACCAAAAGAUACUCAGCUAUACUACUUAAUUGGAGAUGACUUGGAGUAGAAUAUUCCUGAAAAUUUGAAAAGAAAUAAAGAAGCAGAUGGAGAUUUUUCUCUGCAGAGGUCAGGAGUUCAAAGUAAAAACCUUCUU